rnacentral:rRNA from 1 species
UACGUAGGGUGCAAGCGUUAAUCGGAAUUACUGGGCGUAAAGCGUGCGCAGGCGGUUAUUUUAGACCGGUGUUAAAUCCCCGGGCUUAACCUGGGAACUGCAUUUGUGACUGCAUAGCUAGAGUACGGUAGAGGGGGAUGGAAUUCCGCGUGUAGCAGUGAAAUGCGUAGAUAUGCGGAGGAACACCGAUGGCGAAGGCAAUCCCCUGGACCUGUACUGACGCUCAUGCACGAAAGCGUGGGGAGCAAACAGG